AUGGCUCAGGAUGAACGCUAGCGGCAGGCCUAACACAUGCAAGUCGAGGGGCAGCGGGUAGCAAUACCGCGGCGACCGGCGCACGGGUGAGUAACGCGUAUGUAACCUAGUUCACAAAGAGGGAUAGCCUUCCGAAAGGGAGAUUAAUACCACAUAUGAUGAUAGCUUCGCAUGGAGCAGUCAUGAAAAAUUUAUUGAUGUGAAAUGGACAUGCGUCUGAUUAGAUAGUAGGCGGGGUAACGGCCCACCUAGUCGACGAUCAGUAGGGGUUCUGAGAGGGAGAUCCCCCACAUUGGUACUGAGACAGGGACCAAACUCCUACGGGAGGCAGCAGUGAGGAAUAUUGGUCAAUGGACGGAAGUCUGAACCAGCCAAGUCGCGUGCAGGAAGACGGCCCUAUGGGUUGUAAACUGCUUUUGUACGAGGGUAAAAGGCGCUAUGAAUAGCGUUUUGAAAGUACCGUACGAAUAAGGAUCGGCUAACUCCGUGCCAGCAGCUGC
rnacentral:rRNA from 1 species